AGAGUUUGAUCAUGGCUCAGGAUGAACGCUGGCGGCGUGCUUAACACAUGCAAGUCGAACGGGAAACUUUUCAUUGAAGCUUCGGCAGAUUUGGUCUGUUUCUAGUGGCGGACGGGUGAGUAACGCGUGGGUAACCUGCCUUAUACAGGGGGAUAACAACCAGAAAUGGUUGCUAAUACCGCAUAAGCGCACAGGACCGCAUGGUCCGGUGUGAAAAACUCCGGUGGUAUAAGAUGGACCCGCGUUGGAUUAGCUAGUUGGCAGGGUAACGGCCUACCAAGGCGACGAUCCAUAGCCGGCCUGAGAGGGUGAACGGCCACAUUGGGACUGAGACACGGCCCAGACUCCUACGGGAGGCAGCAGUGGGGAAUAUUGCACAAUGGGGGAAACCCUGAUGCAGCGACGCCGCGUGAAGGAAGAAGUAUCUCGGUAUGUAAACUUCUAUCAGCAGGGAAGAUAGUGACGGUACCUGACUAAGAAGCCCCGGCUAACUACGUGCCAGCAGCCGCGGUAAUACGUAGGGGGCAAGCGUUAUCCGGAUUUACUGGGUGUAAAGGGAGCGUAGACGGACUGGCAAGUCUGAUGUGAAAGGCGGGGGCUCAACCCCUGGACUGCAUUGGAAACUGUUAGUCUUGAGUGCCGGAGAGGUAAGCGGAAUUCCCGGUGUAGCGGUGGAAUGCGUAGAUAUCGGGAGGAACACCAGUGGCGAAGGCGGCCUACUGGGCACCAACUGACGCUGAGGCUCGAAAGUGUGGGUAGCAAACAGGAUUAGAUACCCUGGUAGUCCACACUGUAAACGAUGAUUACUAGGUGUUGGAGGAUUGACCCCUUCAGUGCCGCAGUUAACACAAUAAGUAAUCCACCUGGGGAGUACGACUGCAAGGUUGAAACUCAAAGGAAUUGACGGGGGCCCGCACAAGCAGUGGAGUAUGUGGUUUAAUUCGACGCAACGCGAAGAACCUUACCAAGUCUUGACAUCCAUCGACGACUAUAGAAAUAUAGUCUUCCUUCGGGACGGUGAGACAGGUGGUGCAUGGUUGUUGUCAGCUCGUGUCGUGAGAUGUUGGGUUAAGUCCCGCAACGAGCGCAACCCUUAUGGUCAGUUACUACGCAAGAGGACUCUGGCCAGACUGCCGUUGACAAAACGGAGGAAGGUGGGGAUGACGUCAAAUCAUCAUGCCCUUUAUGACUUGGGCUACACACGUACUACAAUGGCGUUAAACAAAGAGAAGCAAGACCGCGAGGUGGAGCAAAACUCAGAAACAACGUCCCAGUUCGGACUGCAGGCUGCAACUCGCCUGCACGAAGUCGGAAUUGCUAGUAAUCGCAGAUCAGCAUGCUGCGGUGAAUACGUUCCCGGGCCUUGUACACACCGCCCGUCACACCAUGAGAGCCGGGGGGACCCGAAGUCGGUAGUCUAACCGCAAGGAGGACGCCGCCGAAGGUAAAACUGGUGAUUGGGGUGAAGUCGUAACAAGGUA
rnacentral:rRNA from 1 species